AUGCGUCCAACGCGCCCGCCGCGAAGGGUGAUCGUUCCCCGGCGUACAUUUCCAGGCUGCAUAACACAGCAGAAGAGGUCGAAAGACCCUCUUUCUCUCUCGCCCACCUCUAAAGAUGUUGCUCCAUACACGCCGGGGAAUGCAGAUGUCGGUAGCCGAAGAGGUGGCACUCGGAGCCGGGCAGGGGCAGGACCCUCGACCCUGGGAGACCCUCCGGCGAGCUGGCGGCGAGACGCGGGAGAAGCGGCGCAGGCAGGCGGCGAGCCUCGCUCUGACUGGCGGAGAGGGGGAGCGAGUCUAGACCGCGGCAGAGGAAGAAAGCACUGCCACUGGGGUCAGAGAGCAGCGACGAGAGCAUAGCCUCCGUACUAGCAUGGCGGAGCGAGAGUGUGUGUGUGUGUGUGUGUGUGUGUGUGUGGUUACUCCUCCCCUCCCUCAGAAGAGUCUGCCAUGAUAUGCAUUCACACGUGGAGAGGAGAGACCUUCUUAUAAGCCUUUUAUUUUUGCGUUUUCUGCAGUGUCCUUUGUUUUGGGGGUUACAUUUUAUUGCAUUGAUUUAAUCAAACCCAAGAGGACCUAAAGUACCUUGAGGAAAUGCAUUUUUAGGGUACAUUUUAAAGGAGACACCAUGAUUUACUUCACGCUGUGUGUAGUCUAUAAGAGCACUGGGUCUUUGUUACUGUCAAAAUGAAGUGAUGUUUGCAAAGUUUUUCCAUGUAGGAAUGAGUUAAAAGGGUCUGCGUUCAUUUCAUAGUGUAAAGUCGGGUAAAAUGGGCCACAUUUUGGUGAAUUUCACAGCCAAAUUUUCCACACUGGUCCACACUGUUAAAUCAGGUCUCUUCUAUCAUUUUAUGUUAAAAUAUGUAAUCAAAAACAAUAACAACAAGAGCUAUUACAAUAUCAGAAAUCCCAGCUUCUGUGCUUCAUGGUAAAAUGAGAUCUUGUAUCAUACCAUUAUAAGAAAUGCAUUAUUGACAUGCCAGUUAAAUGUGUCAAAAUGUAUGUGCGAUAGGUUCAGUUCAGAAUUACUGCGUUUCACACGUGGGUGUCAAAAUAAGAAUAAUAUACAACAAAUAUAGCAAUAAAAAGCAACUCUUCCUACUAAAACUCA
ensembl:lncRNA